rnacentral:lncRNA from 1 species
AAGGUAUUUCAGUUGCCAAAACAUCUGUGCAUAUACUUUUUGAUGCAAGUGGAUCACAGAUUCUAGUGCCAGAAAGUCAGUUCUCACCAGUAGAAGAAGAACUUAGUAGUUUAAAAGAAAAAUCUAAUCCUCAAAAGGAAUUUGCUGAGCCUCCAAAAUACAUCAAAAAUAGUAACCAAGGAAAUGGGAAAAAUAGUCAGCUCGAGAUAACUACUCCUAGCAAAAGAAAAAUGUCUGAAGCAUCAAUGAUUGUUCCUGGUGCAGAUAGAUACACUGUGAGAAGUCCAGUACUUUUAAUCAACACAUG